rnacentral:rRNA from 1 species
CGGACGGGUGAGUAAUGUCUGGGAAACUGCCUGAUGGAGGGGGAUAACUACUGGAAACGGUAGCUAAUACCGCAUAAUGUCGCAAGACCAAAGUGGGGGACCUUCGGGCCUCAUGCCAUCAGAUGUGCCCAGAUGGGAUUAGCUAGUAGGUGGGGUAACGGCUCACCUAGGCGACGAUCCCUAGCUGGUCUGAGAGGAUGACCAGCCACACUGGAACUGAGACACGGUCCAGACUCCUACGGGAGGCAGCAGUGGGGAAUAUUGCACAAUGGGCGCAAGCCUGAUGCAGCCAUGCCGCGUGUGUGAAGAAGGCCUUCGGGUUGUAAAGCACUUUCAGCGGGGAGGAAGGCGUUAAGGUUAAUAACCUUGGCGAUUGACGUUACCCGCAGAAGAAGCACCGGCUAACUCCGUGCCAGCAGCCGCGGUAAUACGGAGGGUGCAAGCGUU